rnacentral:rRNA from 1 species
UAGGGAAUCUUCGGCAAUGGGGGCAACCCUGACCGAGCAACGCCGCGUGAGUGAAGAAGGUUUUCGGAUCGUAAAGCUCUGUUGUAAGAGAAGAACGUGUGUGAGAGUGGAAAGUUCACACAGUGACGGUAACUUACCAGAAAGGGACGGCUAACUACGUGCCAGCAGCCGCGGUAAUACGUAGGUCCCGAGCGUUGUCCGGAUUUAUUGGGCGUAAAGCGAGCGCAGGCGGUUUAAUAAGUCUGAAGUUAAAGGCAGUGGCUUAACCAUUGUUCGCUUUGGAAACUGUUAAACUUGAGUGCAGAAGGUGAGAGUAGAAUUCCAUGUGUAGCGGUGAAAUGCGUAGAUAUGUGGAGGAACACCGGUGGCGAAAGCGGCUCUCUGGUCUGUAACUGACGCUGAGGCUCGAAAGCGUGGGGAGCAAACAGG